rnacentral:lncRNA from 10 species
CACUUUCCCAACUCCUUUUCAAUUUCUCACAUUAAAGACCACUUUUAAUGACUCUGACUCUAUCCCCUGGGAAGGAAAUGGACUAUCUAUUUAGUUUGCCCUGCUUUGGGGGUUACUGGAGUUGGAAGAGUUUGUAGAAGAUUUGGGGUUUUAGGAGAUUGUGUCAUCACAAGUCACAGACCAUUGUAAUUGGAGAAGCCUUCUGGAAGAGGCCAUCAGAGAAGGCACCCAGUGGUUGCCCUCGGGAUGGAUGAUGAGCCAUUUGGUUGGUCAGGGGCAAGGCUCAUUGUGCGGAACCGGAGUCUUGGUAUUUUUAAUUGCCCUCAUAAUUUUUAUUACCAGUUAUGAGUAUCCUGGGUGACUAUGUCAUAGACCAAGAAAAUAACCUCUGAACAGAAUAUGCCAAGAGUGAAGUGGGCUGGGGCAUUUCAUUUCUAAAAGUACACAUGGCAUGGAGUCAGCAGCUUCACGCUGGGAAGUGCCCGAGAAAAGGGGAGGAGCGAUGCACCCCUGGCCUGCUGAGAGGAGUCUGUGCCAGCCUCACUUCUGAUGCCUCACAGCUCUCUGACACGAUUGCAUCCCCCAGAUGCCUCACGGAGAAAAUGUGAAUUUGGGACUGGUGACACGUCAAUUAAUUUCACAACACCGGAAAGCACACUCAGGAUGCUGGUCUUAUCACGUGUUGGAUCUCACUGGAUUAGCUGUUUUCCCUCCAGUGGCUGGAGCCUAGGACCAUCCUGGAUGGCAGCAUCUCAGACUCAGAAUAGUGCAGCAACAGGGAAAGCUAUUCAAAAAGUUGUCUGUUUACUCUGUUGAUAGUUCCUUUUGGUGCAAGCAUCUGGAAAGCUCUCAAGUACCAGACUGGGGUUAUAGGUUCUUGGGAGGAAGGCCACAGAGAUAGAGGGCCAUUUUCAUCACAUCCUGUCAAGGGCAGCUGUUGCAAAUGGCCAUGGUUUCCAUGAAGAGUGCACAGAUGGCUCCGUCCUCACAACUUCCUUAGAAAGAUGGAAAAUGGAACUUGUCUUGAUGACAGUGUCUGCUAGGUUCAUCAACUUCUGAAAUGUGGUGACAGAGC